rnacentral:tRNA from 1 species
GCCCCUACAGCUCAGUGGUAGAGUGUCAGUCUUGUAAACCGAAGUUCUGUAUUUGGAUCCUGCAUGGGGCCA